CCUGUGAUACACCUGUGAUACACCUGUGAUACACCUGUGAUAUACCUUAUGAGUUAGACCUGGAUAAACUGGAAGGAGAAUCUGGAAUUUAUAUUCGGAAAUGGACUAUAUUUUCAUAAACAACAACAUUAUAGGGAAUCAAAAACAACAUUAACAACACCAAUAACAACUUUUCCAGCAAUAACAUAAACAACAACUUUAAAAAAGGGGGGGAAACUAAAACCACGCUUAAAGGGAAAAUUAAGCCGUGUGCACACACACACACACACACACGCACACAGACACACACACAUACACACACACAUUCAUAAAAUACAACUCUAGCUAUAUUGAUAUUUAAUAUAGGGGGAAAUAAUAAACUAGAGGGGGAGGGGACAAGGAAGCGAGGGAUUAUGGAUUUAUGCUUUGUAUAAAAGAAAGAUAACAGAGAAACAGAAAUACACUGAUGUCUAGGGCGAUAUUGGUUAAUAUUAGCCUAGAUACACAAGGCUAGAUUAAUAUAGUAUGUGGUGGUUCUAUGAAAGAGGGGUCCAUCACUGAUCCAGAAACACAUCUCACUCUUUCACACACACACACACGCACACACACACACACACACAUAUAUUUGUGUGUUUAUGUACUUCAGAUUUACUUUUAUCUUAACUUACAAGACGUCAGCGUUACUACUACUAAUCAUGAUAAAUAUUUCCUCCAGCAUUAAACACUGAAUAGUCAACAAGAGAGCCUCGGUGUGGUGUCUUGACCUGCAAGAAAUAGCAGCAAAAUCCCUUCAUAUAUAGGAGGACGCAGCGCACCGAAUAAUCCCAAGGCGUGGGUAGCUGUUUCCUAAACAGCUUUGAUCAUAGUUCACAGGGCUUACCUAGGGCUAAAUAACAAUACCCACUACGAUGAGUAUUAUCAUUACUAAUACCAACACCAUCCAAAAUUAUUGCUACUACUACUAAUUAAUUUUGAAAUAAACUUUCUUGUCCCUUGUGGCUAAUAAAAGUUAAAACAGUGCAAAGGCGAAAUAUAAGUGAAUAGCGAGGAGUAGGGUAGAAUAAGAACGUGAAAUUAACAACAGUAAAUAAUAACAACAACAACAAUAGCAACAACAACGACAACAACAACAACAACAACAACAACAACAACAACAACAACAACAACAACAAUAAUAAUAAGAAGAAGAAGAAUGAUAAUAUAGGACAGAGGCCAUAGCAAUAUAAGACAUUAUUCUUAAUCAUAAUUAAAAUUUCUUUUAAUCGAAUACCGCCAGGUUGACAGGUGAGAUUAUAAUUACAAAACUGGUGAGUUUACGCAGAAAGAAAACAAAUAAUUAGAGUAAUUAUUUUGAAUUUUAAUUAAUGUUUAACUAACAGACCACCUUCAGUAUAAUUAUAUAUUAUACACUCAAACGAACUUAUAUGGUUGCAUAGAAUCAAAAAUAUCAUAUCUUAUAUACACACCUGGACACACCUGUACUGUGACGCACCUAUAUACAUAUGCUCAUACGUAGAUGUAUACAUAGAUAUACUCACAUUCACAUAAAAGAAUAUUUUUCUAUACAUAUAAAAUAUACACAUAUACAUCGCUUAUGCAAACGAUGAUUUGCAGAUAUCGAAGUGAAACAAUUACUUUAUUACGUGAGAAGUGAAACAGUUGUUUGGAUUGUAAUUAAAGAAACUCAGGGAAAGCAUUCCAAUUUUCUGGUCGAUUCGAAGCAAGCCGGUGUCAAACGACGUCUCGACAUAUCUAUUGAUCUAUAUUAAUUUGUCUAUAACGGAUAUGGAUUCCAAGAGCUUAAGGUGAAUUACAGGUCUGUUGCUACAUUGACGAAAGCAUCAACUUACUAUUCUAUUUCAAUGUCCUCUGUGAUAUGAUUAUUACAUCGACGUAUUGAUUCCGCAGUUAUAUCUAAACUUUGAGAAUAAUUACAACAAAGGUUCAACGUUCGUCAAACAAUAUGGACCAAUAAACAAGGAAUUUACCAGUAAUAUCAACGUUCUCCUACACAUAUAUAAGAAAUCAAAGGAAUUCACCAACUUACGUCAGAUAAAACAUAAAAUGUAGACAACUAAGACGAAAUCGACGACAAAAAUCAGUGAAAUUCUAAAAUUAUUUGUCUUUUGUGAAUAUAUCGUGAUUUAAUGAGAUAUAAGAAACAUUCACAGCAUUUUUAUGAGAGUUUACCAAAUUUUACGAGAGUUCACCAGAUUGCAUAAAAGCUCACGGGAUUUUACCAAACUUCACGAAAUUUUACAAUAUUUCACGAGAUUUUGCAAGAGUUCACGAGAGUUUCCUCAGUUAAUCAUCUAAUAUCAACACAAUGGGUGAUAUGGUCAGUAGCUGUUUAAAAACUGUCGGUCUUGAACCAGUUGAGGCGAAAUCGGUGCAGUAUAACCGGAAACGGAAGCAAAGUGUUCAAGUAACUGAAUAUAUGAAAACGAAACGCCACAACGAACUCGAGAAAUACUACCGUGAUAAGUAUGCUCCUCGACGGCAGUCGUCGCCUUGUAUCGACCAAUUAACACUUGACAUUCCUGUACCCACAGAGCAGGUACGGAGGUCUUCGAUGAACUUCUAAGAAUAAAAAAAGGAUAUUUUGUAUGUUCACCUUGGAACAAGUGACACAAAGUUUUGUGAGCAAUGUUAAUUGAUGAAGAAGCUCCAGUCACUGUUUUCGUUUUGUUUGGAAACAAGUGUUAAAUUUUGGUCGAAAAUCUCUCGUCAUUGAGCAUAUACUUUCACCUCGAGUAAUGACCGUCAAGAAAUAGCAAAAGUAUAUUCAAAUAUGCAUAUGUUCAUAUAAUAACGCAUACGUUUAUAUACAUUCAUACACAUAGAAAUAUACAUACAUCUACAUAUGUACAUUAUAUAUAUUUAUAUAUAAUA